rnacentral:lncRNA from 1 species
AUACUAUUUAUAACACGUAAAACACAGUACUUAUAAUACAUAGACGAAGAAGAUAAAAACAUGUUAGAGUAGAGAGAUUGUCUGGAAGAAUAAUAGCCCCUCGGUUAAAGGCCUUGAAGGCUUCUAUCGUCAAGACAAUUAAAGAACUGGAUCUGCACGAGGGACCACAGGCAUGACAAACAUUCAAGCACCGUGUACAGAUCGUGAUCGAGAACAAAGGCUUUCAUUAUGAAUUUAUUUGUUAACAGCUAUGGAUUUUUCAAAAUAUAUUUAAAUAAAAAAAGAUCCUGUAAAGUGUGAGAUACUUGAGGCUGAUAAAAACCAUAUUAAAUGUAUGUAAAUUGUAUUUGACUAAUUUAAUUUUUGCCAUGAUUGUUUUAGCUUGGGCUCUGAACAAUAUUGAGUCUGGCAUUUCUCUGGUUGACUCUUUGAUUACUUGUCUAUAUUUGGUCAUCUAUUCUGGAUGUUAAAGGAGGAGCCCAGGACUUUUGUCUUCAACUCUUUUGUAAUAGAACAUUUUGCUAAAUAUACUUAUAAAAUAAA